CGACCGGGUCCUGUGCGACCGAACCCCGUGAACCGGGUCAGGGCCGGAAGGCAGCAGCCCUCAGCGGAGCGUUCGGAGUGCCGCAGACCGCCUGGUCGUCCC
rnacentral:SRP_RNA from 1 species